UUGACGACAGGAUGUCAGACAGGAGGAGGACUGUGACGUAUGAUCUGCAGGAGGGGUCCCUUCGGAUUUCCACUGCACGUCACCUUGACUUCCUCAGCUAAACAACGAAGCAAUUGGACACAUCUUGUCUGUAACUACUCCAGAUCUUUCCCGGGUCUGCUCAGGGGCAGUGCACUUAAUCUCCACAUGUAACAGAUUUUCCAGGAUGGUCCCAAGUGCAAAUACAUUGUUUGGGAGUGUGGUCAAGGUGGCCUGUACCACCCUGUCAAAAGGCACAGUUCUUUCUCUCAAGAAGCCUGUGGUUAGGGGGUGAAGCCACUUUGCCAUAUCACUCAGUGCCGUCACGGUAGAUGUGCGUGGUUACCGUAUAGGUCUAGGCACAUGACCUUCCUUGGUCCUGAUCCGUCCUUCUCUCUGUGGAGGACACUUUUGACCACAUCUUACAUGAGAGGUCUGCUUUUGACUUGGAAGAAUCUACUUUUUAUCUGGAGUUUGGACCCUGUCCCCAACCAGCAGGUAGCAUGAACACCAGGAGGAUGCACCUGUCACUAAGCAGUCUCCUCUGGCUUGCACAAAGGACCGCAGGGUAUCGGUGCUAGGAGAUGUGCCUUCAGCCAGCUUCACAACUUGUUGGUGACUGUCACAUAAACAAAGCACAUGUGUCUGGGAAGACACCUGCAGACUGGAAGAGACUGUCCCCGAGAAGCCUUUGUGUGAUGACCCACAGACCCACAGGAUGCUGGGCCAGGUGCGGGUCUGUGGUCACUGCUCAUCUCUGCCCUGUGAGAACGGAAGCUGAGAUUUAUAGCCCACAUUCUAUCAGUCUUCUUAUGCAGAGCCUCCGUGGAGCAAAGGGGUCUUCUGGGCUUGAAGCCCCAUCCCUCAGCUGCUCCACGGCCUCUCCCAGAGACUUGCGGAACACCUUGGAGGAUCCUGGAGUUCAUGGAACACAGCUUAGAAACCUGUGGAGAGGCCUAAUUCAUUCCACAUAUUAGACUUUGAAGUAGUAUUCCCACAGCUGCUUGAGAACAUUGGACCCUUUGGAUCUUAGGACCCUUAGGACUCCUACCCACUUUUUAACUCUUCCAUCCAUAAAGCAAGUUCGGGAAAUGCUACGGCCUGUAAGCCCCAACUGGUGGCUCAUCACCCCAAGAGCCCAGCCAAGGUCCUGAGAAGUCCUGCAUGAAAGAGACCUCUUCUGUUUUGCAUAA